rnacentral:rRNA from 1 species
UUUAUGGAGAGUUUGAUCCUGGCUCAGGAUGAACGCUGGCGGCGUGCCUAAUACAUGCAAGUCGAGCGGCAGCGGGCUCACAGUGCUUUGGUUCAAUAAAGAACGAAGGUAAUGUGAGCGCCGGCGAGCGGCGGACGGCUGAGUAACGCGUGGGAACAUGCCCCA